AAGGCGGCCGCGAAGGCCACGGAACAGAGGCGGAGAAACGCCGAACGGCGGCGGGAGGGAAAACGCCUGCGCCGAGCGAAGAGGCGGGUCCCGAGUUUCUGGUGACUUUAAACUGGGCCACUAGCCUCAAAGAAAGCAAUCAAUGCAUUUUGAUCAUAACUGUCCAGAAUCUCCAGUAAAAGAGCUCAACAAAGUGCUAUUAUUUCCGACCCCCAAAAAAGAAAACUGAAGCUCAGAGAGUUAAAUAAUCC